rnacentral:lncRNA from 1 species
CAGAUCAUAAUGCUAUCAUUUAUUGGAGAAAAAAGAGAAAAAAACUUGUUUUGUGGUAUCUGGGGAAAAAAACAGCUUGCUUAACAGUAAACUUCUUUCUCCUUGAAAUGAGUUAGUAAAAAGAAAACAAUCUUCAUUGUAUGAAAUAGCAUCUCCAGGUAGGAAAAGCAGCACACAAGAAUAUAUUUUUGGAUAUAAAAAUUUAGAUAUGCUAUCGCAGCACUGAAAAUUAGCUAAGAAUCUAUACAAUUACAAAAAAUUGAAUCAUGUUUUAACAAAGUAUUUUAAAAGCUCAUAAUAGAACAGGCACAGUAUUCUGAAGACAUAUAAAUUUACCAUGUGCUUUUGAACAUCCUUACCAUCAACUUCACAAUCAGAACAUACAAAAGCAGCAAAAGAUCAGAGUUCAGAGGUUUUUAAUUUUUCCUUUCCUUGUUCAGACUGGCUAAAUCAAGCAAAUACAUUGAAAAAGGCAAAUAAACAUUCUUCAUAGCAGAAAGACUGCAAGAUUGCAUGUAAACUAUGGUUCUCCUUUAGGACAUUGCACAAGGACAAGGUUCAUCUGUACUUAGAAGCAGCCUCUUGCAGUAUGCAAGUUCAGCACUGUGAGAGCAACAUUCUGCACAGACACCAGUCUCAAUCUGGUUUCAAAGGAUGCCUCCCCCCAUGAAAGAAAGAAAAGAAAGAAAAGAAAAGAGAGAGAGAGAAAGAGAAAGAGGAAGAGGAAAAGGAAGAGAAAGGAGUUCCUGUUGUGGUGCAGCAGAAAUGAAUCUGACUAGGAAUCAUGAGGUUGCAGGUUUGAUCCCUGGCCUCGCUCAAUGGGUUAAGAAUCCGGCGUUGCCCUGAGCUGUGGUGUAGGUCGCAAACGAGGCUCGAAUCCCGUGUUGCUGUGGCUAUGGUGUAGGCCGGCAGCUGCAGCUCCGAUUUGACCCCUAGCCUGGGAACCUCCAUGUGCCGCAGAUGCAGCCCUAAAAAGACAAAAAAAAAAGAAAGAAGAAGAAGAAAGAAAAAAGAAAGAAAAGGGGAUCCACAGCCAAGGACUGCAGUUCCGUUUCUGAAUUUAUUCCACUAAGUCUCAUUACUCAUGUUGCAAUGCUUGUGACUCCAAUGGAUUAUCAAAAGCAAAGCAGCCAAACCAGUACCCCCACCUCCUUUUUUUAAGGGAUGGACCACUGCUUAACUAUAUUUUCUAACAGAAGUUCCAAAAGCAAUUUUAUUUAGAUGUAUACCAUGACUGUAUUUCCUGCUCCCUGAGUUAGGGUGGAAGGGAUAUGGCAUGAAGGUGGAUGACCCACAAAGUCACCACACAAAAGUGAUGGACACAAGCUCCAAGCAUUGAGAUAAUCAACUCGGUGAGAAGAGUCAGCUGGGGAGGGUCUGGUCCUUCUCAGGGACAAGACAGCCUAUCUGUGGGAGUGACAGAGGGGGCCUCAGGCCGGGUCUCAACAGCAGUAGCCACAGGUACAACCAUGCAGAAAAGCUGGAAAACCAGAGUUUCCCCUGAGCACAUCAGCAAAAGGGGAGCCUCUCAGACAGUGAGACAGGAGGAGAUGGGAGGCAGCGAGUUAGGAAAGGGACCCCCUAACCCCACUGCAGCAAUGUGAAACAAGCAAUCUCUGAGGCUGGGGAGGAGAGGACUGGAAGCCAGCCCUCCAGGUCUGGGGACCAGCACUGUUCCCAGUUCAGUGGUCACAGGCCAGCACACGCAGGGAAGAGCUUUUGGACCAGUGUUCCCACCCAGCUGCUGGAAGCAGAGCUUUGCACAUGAGUACAUGUCCCCUCUACAAAAGGGUCACCUCGAGGUCCCCUUUAUUCCAAAACACAACCAUCUCUUCCUCCCCCAGCAGCAAACAGAUAGGAGGGAAGGCAGGGGAGUGGGGAAACAGCCCCAGGGUCUAAAACCUUAACUCUCCACUCCUCAUCGCACCCCCUCGGUUGCUUUUAACCAGUACUGUUGCCUGGUAACAGCUUUCGGCAGAUCUGAAAUGCAUUUCUUCCUCCCACAGUCCAGCAGACAAAACAAGUAGGGAAGCAACUAAAGGGUAAAGCGGCAGAAGGAAAACCUGAGGAGUCUGUUAGAUCCUGUCUGGAAGGAGGGAUCGCCCACAAGCUGCUGACGGGUCCACACUGGAACUGUCUGAGCAAACCGGCCACAGGCCUGGAGAGUUGGAGCAAAGGAGCUUUUAUGCAAGAACUGGUGCCCUCUUCUGGUGAGAUCUGGUAUAGACACAUUACCCAUUCCUUCUCAAAUAACAGAGAUAAGACGGCUGGUCUGGCAAAGUUAUUGUGGAUAUUCAAUGAGAUGGUGCAUGGUCAUGUCUACAAUGCAGGACGCAUACUACCAAAUAAAUUUUUGUAGAUAAAUCAGAGGGCAGAGACAUUCACUCUGCUGCCUUAAAUGGUUAUCAGUUAUUUCUGUGAUUAAAUGAUAAUACUUUUACUAAGAUUUAACUUACCUAUGCUGCCUAUGCUGCUCUCCGUGCUAAGCAUGAGAUACAUUUCUCACUGACAUCCUGCGCUGAUCCAGCAGGNNNNNNNNNNNNNNNNNNNNNNNNNNNNNAUUAUCUUUAAAGAGAUGAGCGAUGUGAGGACCAGAAGUAACUCAUUCAACAUGACACUAGUAUGUGAUUAAGCCACAACUCACCCCUAGACCUGUCUGACCUCAAAGCCCACAUUCACCACCACUACAUUAUGUAGGCCUGGUGACAUCCUAACCUCAUGUCCCACAAAGUCAAGUCCAGCCUCUGAAGGGGCCCACUGGGAUCAGGCUUUUAGGUCUAUUACUCCAAGAUGGCUGAAGUUCCUAGUGACCAGGCUGGCCUCACAUCAGCUCUAAGGAGAAGAAGCAUUAGAGACUCUCAACCUCCUUCAGGCCCCUUUCCAGAUCCCUUCUGAGAGCUGGACUGUCUGCUGGCAUCUGAGAUGCAAAGGAACCCACACAAGCCAGAGAGUAGCAUAUACUUUCCACUCCUGGCUAAAGACAGGUUAGGGGCCUCAGCAGAAGACAGCCUAGAAAAGAUCCAGUAAUACUGGCCCCUCACUCUGGCCCCAUGAGGCCUAUUCAUACCUCCCUAGCUCGGAAGAAAAGUCUUGCCAGUCUAAGGUCUCAGCUGCAGUAGGAAAAAGGAGUUAGCUAUUAGCCACAAGCAAGAAGACAAGCAGUGGACCACUGCCUUUGGUUUGGAGGUUUCCAGAGCAAGAGCCAGAGUGAACCAGACAGACCUAGGUGAAAAACAGAAAGGCAAACCCAAAUAGACUUCCUUUGGAAGUGACUUUGGAGGUCCCACAAUGCCAAUCAAGAUAGGGCAUUCUGAUGGUCAGAUAGCAAGGAGAACCAAAGGGCAGGUGAAGGACUGAUGGAGAUCCUACAAAACCAAGAGGAAGCUUUCCGGAGGGAGACCAGGCAGAAGGUACAAUGAUGUAGAAAGAGUGGAACCAGAAAAGGAGCAGGCCUGGCUGAUGGAAACAGCACGAACAGUUACAGGAGGAACCACCCAAACCACCCCAGGAAAUGCAGUGUCACAAAGCGGACCAAAGAUGGGGCACCCUCUGGGGUCUCUGUUCUGCCAUCAACUAUGGCUUUGGGAGGAUCUGGUAACUUCUCUGAGCCUCAAUUUCCUUGACUGCCUAGGGGGAUAAUAAUCCCUGCUUCGUCACAAGGCUCUUUCAAGGACUAGGCAAGAUCAGGGACAUGAAAGCACUCUGUUUGUGGCCAGGCAGCAGGCUGCAUAAGGCCACCCUGCAGCCCAUGGUGUCUUCCCCAACUCUUUUCAGCACAGGCUCCAGGACAAACACAGGCCUGCCUACUUCCUGCUGGCUCCACAGCAGGGCUCUGUCUUCCCACCUACUCUCCUCUGGCCCCGUUCCAGAGGAGAGAGGAAAAUAAAAUCAGUUUGAAAGCAAAUAUUUAUAAAUACUGGAGGAAAAACAGAGAGCCAGAGAGCAGAGGGCAGCAAGAUUUUUCACGUCCAACCGGCUUUUGUCCAAAAGGAAGCAGCAUAGUUUUCUGCUGCUGCUUUGUUCUCUCAAUCUCAUUCCAGGAGGUCAAGAGCAAAGAAAUGUGGGUGGGGGUGGGGGGACCCAAGAGAAAAAGAGUGUGCACUAAGUGCUAGAAAAUACAUUCCAUAGCCAGGUGGGGAAUCAAAGCAGCAGGAGAGCCUCAGUUCAGGUUUGAAAAACAAUACACAUCACCAAAAAGUAUUCCUUUUCUACUUCAUUGCAUGGCCAGGCUCUCCAGGGGCUCAUAUCAGAAGAGCAAAAUCAGUUGUUCCCAGACACCAAGACAGAUGUGUGUCUGCACUGUGAGGGGCAGGGGUGAUGGACGCCAUGCUGAGGGCAAGUCUACAAAGUCCCUGUUGACCCCCAAACUGUGUCCCUUCCUGUUGCACCCCUGUCAUCUCCAAUGGGCUUGCCUGUUGCCACCUGAGAAUCACUAGCGCCCCAGGCAUAUCUGCUGCUGCUACCAAGGUUUUUAUUUAUGAGAACCCAGUGGAACCCCAUCCAUAGGUGCCCGAGGAAGAUUCCACUCCGGCUGAUACAGAACGCACUUCUCACAUGGUGCUACAGGCAUUAGGUUUGGGAACACACCACUGCCUCCAAAAGCAACCCUCAAAUGUUCAGAAUGCAAGCAACACAUUGCUGCAAGAUCAAAGGCACGUGUCUGUGAGACAGAGGUUUAGAAGAUAUUUACAGCAUGGUCCACCCGCUUCCAUCCACCGUGCCUUUCCAAGUCUGCAAAGCUGGCCAUGUCUUAUGUAAGACACACAGCAAAGCACUUCUUCACAGCAUCUCUAGGGAGAAAAAACACAAAAUUAAAUGAGAGAUCAUCACCCCAAAGGCUUCUAGAAGUGGUAAAGACUCUCCUUGAGAUUUCCUGGGCACCUGGAGUAGCACGCUGCAGAGCAGAAAGCAUCUGAGGUCAGCCCUACAUGGCACCAAACCUCAGCUUCAACAUGUAUUAGGAGAAAUAUUCUGGGCAAGUUACUGGUCUUGUUUGAGUUUCAAAUUCCUCAUCUAUAAAAGGGGAUGUUCCCACUUACCCUAUAGACCUGUUUGUGAAUAACUGCAUUAGCAGAGUAAGUAUUUCUUAAAAAAAUAUAGCUAUCACAGAGUUCCUAUUGUGGCUCAGUGGGUUAAGAACCUGACAUGGUGUCUGUGAGGAUGGGGAUUCAAUCCCUGGCCUCACUCAGUGGGUUAAACCGCAGUGUAGGUCGAAGAUGUAGCUCAGAUACAGUGUUGCUGAGGCUACGGCGUAGGCUGACAGCUGCAGCUUCAAUUCACCCCCUAGCCUGGGAACUUCCACAUGCUGCAGGUGAAAGAAAAAAAUAAAAGCUAUCAUUACAGGAAAAGGAAAAGACAGGAAGAAAGUGGAGACUAAGCAAAAAUAAGAAAUUACUAAGGACUGUGCAUUUUAUUAUCAACCAGAAUCACAGAAUGCUCUGAAAGCAGUAACUCAAAAAGGCAUAUCUUAGAAAAAAGAAAGGCCCUUUCUUCUUUCUAAGCAGGCAGCAGAAACUUGUGAGGGGACAUCUUGCAGGAAGGAGUUUCCUAGCACAGGGAGCUCCCCAAAGGUACUGAGCACUUGUUACCUGCUGUAUGAGCCCUAUCCCAGGCACUUACUCCUUGGAAUUCAGUUCAGAGCAUGCAAAGGGCUCAGCCAAUUACUAUUCUAGUCAAGCAGGCAUCUCCAUCCCACCACCACAUCUGGCCAUGGACUAGGGCUUUUCACCCCACCUCCAUGACUUGAGCUCUUGGUUGCACUGUGCCAAGGACACUGAAGCCACACAAGGGAGGGAGGGUGAGAGAAUGCCUUUGCAUGAGCAGGUAUUGCAAUUACUAUCAAGAUAAUUCAAGCGCUGCAUUCUGAAGAUGUGCUCUGCACUGAAGUCCCCGUAGACGCUCUGCAUGAGAAGGGGUUUUAUGGCCCAAUGAGAUCCCUCACAGCAGCUCACAAUACACCUAACAUAUUAAAGGACCUAGAAGGAGUUCCUGUCCUGGCACAGCAGAAACGAAUCCGACUAGGAACCAUGAGGUUGCGGGUUCAAUCCCUGGCCUCGCUCAGUGGGUUAAGGAUCUGACGUUGCUGUGAGCUGUGAUAUGGGUCACAGAUGCAGCUUGAAUCCUGCAUUGCUGUGGUUGCUAUAGUGUAGGUUGCAGAUGCGGCUCGGAUCUGGCGUUGCUGUGGCUCUGGUGUAGGCCGGCAGCUAUAGCUCCAAUUAGACCCCUGGCCUAGGAACCUCCAAAUGCCGCGAGGGCGGCCCUGAAAAGACAAAAAAAAAAAAAAAAGACCUAAAAAGCUGGAGCCCAUAGCACAAAGCCACCCAGCCACAUUUAACUCAUGGGCUGGUUGACUUCUCAUCAAAUAGUCACUCCCCAGCUUCUUCCGCUAUCAGCCACAGCCUGGGAAGGCAUCAAGACGGAAGCCUGCUCUUCCAGCUCACACACAUUUCUCAUUUCCUCAGCACAGUUAAGGAAAAGCCUUUUUUUGGUUCACAGGUCAUGAAAGAGAAGAAUGGGAAUUAAAUGAUGACAAGAUAACAGAUACAGGCAAAGAUAAACGCGCUGAUUUAGGAGGCUUGGAGGUCAGAAGUUCAGAGGGCGAAGGGGGCCAACCCACUCUAGUUAUCAUGAGUCCUCCCAGGCCAGGGGAUGUCCAGUGAGUUGCCCAACUUCACUUUAGGAAACCCUGGUCCUCCAGAGUCCUGGCCCUGCUUCCUUUCCCUUUAUGAAUUCUUUUCUGAAAUGUUCCCGUCAGUGGGAUGGUGCAAGAAAACAAGUAUGUCUUAGACCUCUUCAUCACUUGCUCGGUGAUAUUAAGGUGACAGUCACCUUUAGGAACAUCUCCUCAAAGGUACUGGCUAAGGAGUGAUAAUAAGCAUAUACGUACUGUCCAUCACAGUACGGCACCAGUAACUGGUGGACGUGGGUCAAUGCCCAUCACCAGUUUAUGAUGGGUCGGGGUGGGAGUAGGGGUGGGGGUGGAGAUGACUCUUAGCUUACUAAACUAUAAAUCAGGCAUGUAACAGCUGCCUAUUUGUCUCAAAGGAUUUUAAUAAAGAUAAAAUAGCAUGUACUCUUUGAAAUGGCCCUAAACUAAAAGGCUCUGUGCAAACAUACCAUCAACCCCAAAUGACAGAUAUUAUAAUCCUAAAUACAGUCAGUCUUACCUUGCAAAUGGUAUGUAGGAAAGGCUAUACCUACAAUGAAAAACAAACAAAAGAUCAAAUCAAAUGAAGGAAAGACCCUACAGUGGACUGGACUCUUCUGAGCUGUAAGAGCCCCCACAGGGAUGCAUCCAGACCCUUUCCUUCCUCAGUAUGGAGGGCACACACACAUGCACACACUCACACACACCCACACAGGAGCACACCCAUGUUGCAUCACGUGUACAGCCAGGGAAGCAAGUGUCAUCCAUGGUCACAGCAGGAGGGCAAAGUCCCAUAUGGAGACAACUCAGUCACCUCAGCCUCACAGGUCACUGCUUUAACCAAAUGAGCCAACAAGAUCACCUACAACAGGCAGACUCCAGAUAUCCAGAUGGCCUAGCAGCCCUAUUCUAAAAGAACACCAGAUAAAAUCCAGGCCAGGCGUCCUCUGAUGUUUUAUAAAUCCUCAACAGAAGA